rnacentral:rRNA from 1 species
CCUACGGGGGGCUGCAGUGGGGAAUUUUGGACAAUGGGGGCAACCCUGAUCCAGCCAUGCCGCGUGAGUGAAGAAGGCCUUCGGGUUGUAAAGCUCUUUCGGCCGGAAAGAAAGCUUGCCCAAUAACACUGGGUGAGGUUGACGGUACCGGCAGAAGAAGCACCGGCUGACUACGUGCCAGCAGCCGCGGUAAUACGUAGGGUGCAAGCGUUAAUCGGAGUGACUGGGCGUCAAGCGUGCGGAGCCGGUUGAAAUCCCCGGGCUUAACCGGGGAACUGCAUUGGUGACUGGUGGGCUUGAGUAUGGCAGAGGGGGGUGGAAUUCCACGUGUAGCAGUGAAAUGCGUAGAGAUGUGGAGGAACACCGAUGGCGAAGGCAGCCCCCUGGGCCAAUACUGACGCUCAUGCACGAAAGCGUGGGGAGCAAACAGGAUUAGAUACCCGAGUAGUC